GCAGAUCAGAAGCGAGAAUGUUGACAUGAGUAGCGACAAAGAGGGUGAGAGACCCUCUCGCCGAAAGUCCAAGGGUUCCUGCUUAAAGCUAAUCUGAGCAGGGUAAGCCGGCCCCUAAGGCGAGGCCGAAAGGCGUAGUCGAUGGGAACCAGGUUAAUAUUCCUGGGCCAGUGGGAUGUGACGGAUCUCGAAGAUUGUCUGCCCUUAUCGGAUUGGGUGGGCCGUUCAGAGGUUCCUGGAAAUAGCCCCACAUCAGACCGUACCCUAAACCGACACAGGUGGACUGGUAGAGUAUACCAAGGCGCUUGAGAGAACCACGUUAAAGGAACUCGGCAAAAUGCUCCCGUAAGUUCGCGAGAAGGGAGCCCCAUAUGUACGCAAGUAUGUGUGGGGGGCACAAACUAGGGGGUGGCGACUGUUUACUUAAAACACAGGGCUGUGCGAAGCCGUAAGGCGACGUAUACAGUCUGACGCCUGCCCGGUGCUGGAAGAUUAAGAGGAGGGGUGCAAGCUCUGAAUUGAAGUCCCAGUAAACGGCGGCCGUAACUAUAACGGUCCUAAGGUAGCGAAAUUCCUUGUCGGGUAAGUUCCGACCUGCACGAAUGGCGUAACGAUCUCCCCGCUGUCUCUAACGUGGACUCAGCGAAAUUGAACUGUCUGUCAAGAUGCAGACUACCCGCGGUUAGACGGAAAGACCCCAUGAACCUUUACUCCAGCUUUGCACUGGUAUCAGGAUUGUGAUGUGCAGGAUAGGUGGUAGGCAUUGAAGCGGGGACGCCAGUCUUCGUGGAGCCUCCCUUGAGAUACCACCCUUCGCCAUCUUGAUAUCUAACCGCGGCCCGUUAUCCGGGUCCGGGACCCUGCAUGGUGGGGAGUUUGACUGGGGCGGUCGCCUCCCAAAUUGUAACGGAGGCGCGCGAUGGUUGGCUCAGACCGGUCGGAAAUCGGUCGUUGAGUGCAAUGGCAGAAGCCAGCCUGACUGCAAGACUGACAAGUCGAGCAGAGACGAAAGUCGGUCAUAGUGAUCCGGUGGUCCCAAGUGGGAGGGCCAUCGCUCAACGGAUAAAAGGUACUCUGGGGAUAACAGGCUGAUGAUGCCCAAGAGUCCAUAUCGACGGCAUCGUUUGGCACCUCGAUGUCGGCUCAUCUCAUCCUGGGGCUGGAGCAGGUCCCAAGGGUAUGGCUGUUCGCCAUUUAAAGAGGUACGUGAGCUGGGUUAGAACGUCGUGAGACAGUUCGGUCCCUAUCUGCCGUGGGUGCAGGAGACUUGAGAAGAGUUGACCCUAGUACGAGAGGACCGGGUUGAACGAACCACUGGUGGACCAGUUAUCGUGCCAACGGUAGUGCUGGGUAGCUAUGUUCGGACAGGAUAACCGCUGAAGGCAUCUAAGCGGGAAGCCCCCUUCAAAACAAGGUCUCCCUUGAGGGCCGUGGAAGACCACCACGUCGAUAGGCCAGAGGUGUAAGUGCAGCAAUGCGUUCAGCUGACUGGUACUAAUUGCCC
rnacentral:rRNA from 1 species